rnacentral:rRNA from 1 species
UGUUCCUACGGGAGGCAGCAGUGGGGAAUAUUGCACAAUGGGCGCAAGCCUGAUGCAGCCAUGCCGCGUGUAUGAAGAAGGCCUUCGGGUUGUAAAGUACUUUCAGCGGGGAGGAAGGGAGUAAAGUUAAUACCUUUGCUCAUUGACGUUACCCGCAGAAGAAGCACCGGCUAACUCCGUGCUAGCAGCCGCGGUAAUACGUAGGGAGCAAGCGUUAUCCGGAUUUAUUGGGUGUAAAGGGUGCGUAGACGGGAAUGCAAGUUGGUUGUGAAAUCCCUCGGCUUAACUGAGGAACUGCAACCAAA